rnacentral:rRNA from 1 species
UAAGAGCUUGCUCUUAGGCGUCGAGUGGCGGACGGGUGCGUAACGCGUGGAUAUCUGCCUAUAAGUUGGGGAUAAGCUUUGGAAACAGAGUCUAAUACCGAAUAAGUUCUACGGAAUAAAGGAUGCCUCUCCUUGGAAGCAUUCGCUUAUAGAUGAGUCCGCGUUGGAUUAGCUAGUUGGUGGGGUAAAGGCCUACCAAGGCGACGAUCCAUAGCUGGUUUGAGAGGAUGAUCAGCCACACUGGGACUGAGACACGGCCCAGACUCC